GUGCUCACUUUGGCGGUACAUGAAUGAAAAUUGGAAUGAAACAGAGAUUAGCAUGGUCCCUGCACAAGGAUGACACACAAAAACCCCAAAUUAAAAAUGCCAAU
ensembl:snRNA U6 U6 spliceosomal RNA